GCGGACGUGGUGCAUGGUGCACCGCUGCUUCAUCUGAACGAUCACUCCCAAAUCCAGGCAGCUCGACGGGGUUCGACUCCCCGCGUCCGCA